AACCUAGCACACCUGCGGUGUGUACCUGCGGAGGGAUCAUUAGCGAGUUUAACUCUCUAAAACCAUUGUGAACGAACUGCCAAACGUUGCUUCGGCGGGGUCUCCCGCCGACAGAACGCAAACUCUGUAAUUAUUGUAUCUCUGAGUAUACUUUUAAUAAGUUAAAACUUUUAACAACGGAUCU
rnacentral:misc_RNA from 1 species